GUCUAGGACCUCUGGGUGGUUGCGCUGUUUCCCGGCCAAUGCACCAAAUGAAAGACCCCCGAAGGGAGACCCUCACUUAAGCACUCAAGCCCCAGGACAGCCACGGACCCAAGAAGACACUGAGACCA
rnacentral:pre_miRNA from 7 species